AUAAUUUAAUUAAGUUUAUCAAAAGCUACAUUUUCUUGUUUUGUUUUUCAAUUUCUAAUUUUUAUUGAAAGUUAGAUUUAGAUUGUUUUUUUCCUUAUAGACUAUGAAGAAUACUUUGCACGUGGAAGUUCUUCUAAAAACUGAAAAAGCUGUUGAUAUUUCUGAGUUGGAAGAAUCCAUUAAUCUUGAACUAAAAAAAAUAAAACCAAUUAUCCCAGAAUCUACACAUACUACUUUCAUUACUGAUGGAUUAGCAGAUUGUAUAAAAUCCAUACAAAUUUGUGAAGUUGAAAAUUUACAAGAAGAUGAUAAUCAUGAACGAAUGAUAAAUUAUGAGCUACCAGAAGGUAAAUCAUUAGACCUAGAUGCAUAUACAGUUCAAAUUUACUUUUACAAACUAGAUGAUAGUGGUUUAGUAGAUGAUGAUACUACUGAUGAAUCCACAUGUAAAAUGAGACGAUGUAUAUUACCUAAUGUUGAUUUUUGUGGUAUUUGGGAUUCAUUGGUUUAUCAAGAGCCAGUCAAAGAAAUUCUUUUAAAUUAUGCACAGACUGGAAUGAAUUUCGCACGUCAUAAUGUCAAUACUAAUAUUAUUAGUUACAAUAGAUUAAUUUUAUUACAUGGUCUACCAGGUACUGGAAAGACAUCAAUUUGUAAGGCACUUGCACAAAAGUUAUCAAUUCGAUUAAGCAAGCAAUACAGUUUCUUUGAAUUUAUUGAAAUAAAUAGUCAUAAUUUGUUGUCCAAAUAUUUUUCUGAAAGCGGUUCAUUAGUUAUGUCUAUGUUUCAACAAAUAAAAAAUGUGUUGGAAUAUGGUGAUUCAUUGGUAUUUAUAUUAAUUGAUGAAGUAGAGAGUUUAACAAGAGCUCGAGAUGCUGUAUUAUCUGGCACUGAGCCAUCAGAUUCUAUAAGAGUUGUAAAUGCUGUACUUACACAAUUGGAUAAUUUGAGAAAGUAUCCAAAUGUCAUAUUUUUGACAACAUCUAAUGUAACAGAAGCCAUAGAUUCUGCAUUCACUGACAGAGCUGACAUAAAGAUGCUCAUCAAUCCUCCACAAGAAAUGGCCAUAUAUACUAUACUUAAAGCAGCUAUUGAAGAACUUAUUAAAGUAGGAUUGAUUAUUAAUGUGGAAAAAAAUGAUAAAUUUGAUCGUCUUCCAAAUAGUAAUGCUGAAGAAAUUGAAGACAAAAGUACAACUCAAAAAUUAUAUGAAAUUUCUAAAGAAAGUGUUGGUUUAAGUGGACGAGUUUUAAAAAAAAUAACUUUUAUAGCUCAUUCUAUAUUUAUCAGGAAACCACAGUGUGAUGGGGUUCAUCAAUUUUUGUGUGCAUUACAAAAAGCAAUAAAGUAUCAAAAAACACAAGAUGCUGGCAUUAAUAAAGUAAAAUAAUCAUGAUUUAACAUGAGUGUACAGUGGACUCUCAAUAAUCCAACAGAUAUCAGACCAGAGGACUGUCAAAUUAAUGGAAUUUCACAUUAAAACGCAUCUUUACUUAUUGAAAAACCUUAAUUUGAUUAAAGCUUAUAAAUAAUACAUAUGUACAUAUGUAAUAAUAUAUGACAUACAUAAAACGUUAGAUAAAAUGCUGCCAGAUUACUGGACAUACCGGAUUAUUACCGAGUUUACGGUAUUUGUAAUUUCUAGUCAGUCAAAUGGAUUGUGUUAAAUGCAUGGGUAUAUCACUCAAGUUUUCACUACAAUCGUAUUUUUUUAAUGAUAGAUUAUAAGAAAAAAAGUUAAUAAUUAGCUUAGAAAUUAGCAGUAUAUUAAUAUAAUUUUUAUUCAUUUUUUGGUAAUGUUUCAGCAUUAAUUCUACUCUAAAAUAAUUUUUUUCACUGAAAAAUUAAA
rnacentral:misc_RNA from 1 species